AGACUGUGAAGAUUUAUGUGAUAAGGUCUCGUUCGUCGUAAUUGGCCUAAUCGGCCUUGCCGACAAUCAUGCUAGAUCACCACCCAUAUUGAGUCU
rnacentral:snoRNA from 1 species